AACGAACGCUGGCGGCAUGCCUAACACAUGCAAGUCGAACGAGACCUUCGGGUCUAGUGGCGCACGGGUGCGUAACGCGUGGGAACCUGCCCUUAGGUUCGGAAUAACUCCCCGAAAGGGGUGCUAAUACCGGAUAAUGUCUUCGGACCAAAGAUUUAUCGCCUUUGGAUGGGCCCGCGUUGGAUUAGCUAGUUGGUAGGGUAAAAGCCUACCACGGCGACGAUCCAUAGCUGGUCUGAGAGGAUGAUCAGCCACACUGGGACUGAGACACGGCCCAGACUCCUACGGGAGGCAGCAGUGGGGAAUAUUGGACAAUGGGCGAAAGCCUGAUCCAGCAAUGCCGCGUGAGUGAUGAAGGCCUUAGGGUUGUAAAGCUCUUUUAACCGGGAUGAUAAUGACGGUACCGGGAGAAUAAGCCCCGGCUAACUCCGUG
rnacentral:rRNA from 1 species